UACGUAGGGUGCAAGCGUUUGUCCGGAAUUAUUGGGCGUAAAGAGCUCGUAGGCGGUCUGUCGCGUCGAAUGUGAAAACCCGGGGCUCAACCCCGGGCCUGCAUUCGAUACGGGCAGACUAGAGUGAUGUAGGGGAGACUGGAAUUCCUGGUGUAGCGGUGAAAUGCGCAGAUAUCAGGAGGAACACCGAUGGCGAAGGCAGGUCUCUGGGCAUUAACUGACGCUGAGGAGCGAAAGCAUGGGGAGCGAACAGG
rnacentral:rRNA from 1 species